rnacentral:rRNA from 1 species
CCUAGGGUGGCUGCAGUGGGGAAUAUUGGACAAUGGGCGAAAGCCUGAUCCAGCCAUGCCGCGUGUGUGAAGAAGGCCUUCGGGUUGUAAAGCACUUUCAGUGGGGAAGAAAGCCUUGGGGCUAAUACCCUCGAGGAAGGACAUCACCCACAGAAGAAGCACCGGCUAACUCCGUGCCAGCAGCCGCGGUAAUACGGAGGGUGCGAGCGUUAAUCGGAAUUACUGGGCGUAAAGCGCGCGUAGGCGGUCUGAUAAGCCGGUUGUGAAAGCCCCGGGCUCAACCUGGGAACGGCAUCCGGAACUGUCAGGCUAGAGUGCAGGAGAGGAAGGUAGAAUUCCCGGUGUAGCGGUGAAAUGCGUAGAGAUCGGGAGGAAUACCAGUGGCGAAGGCGGUCUUCUGGACUGACACUGACGCUGAGGUGCGAAAGCGUGGGUAGCAAACAGGAUUAGAUACCCCAGUAGUC